rnacentral:misc_RNA from 1 species
UCUCCGUUGGUGAACCAGCGGAGGGAUCAUUACAGGACUCGCAAGACUCCUACAACCCUGUGAACUUAACUAUAAGCACGUUGCUUCGGCGGGUGUCUCGGAGGGGGUUCUCCCUCCCCGAGACGCUAAACCCGCCGGCAGCCUACUAUACUCUGUCUCUUUGCGUUGGCAUCUCGAGUACAAUCAAACAAGUUAAAACUUUCAACAACGGAUCUCUUGGUUCUGGCAUCGAUUAAGAACGCAGC